AUUCCAGCUCCAAUAGCGUAUACUAAAGUUGUUGCAGUUAAAAAGCUCGUAGUUGAAUUUCUGGUCGUGAAAAGUGGUCCGUUCCGCAAGGAAUGUGUACUGUCUAUUCAUGUCCAUCCUCGGAGUUAGUGUGUAUUACUUUAAUCGGUCGUGCAUGCAAUACUUCGUCAUUUACUGUGAGCAAAAUAGAGUGUUCAAAGCAGGCUUAUGCCGUUGAAUAUAUUAGCAUGGAAUAAUAAGAUAUGACUUUGGUCUACUUUGUUGGUUUGCACUCCAAAGUAAUGAUUAAUAGGGAUAGUUGGGGGUAUUCGUAUUCAAUUGUCAGAGGUGAAAUUCUUGGAUUUAUGGAAGACGAACUACUGCGAAAGCAUUUACCAAGGAUGUUUUCAUCG
rnacentral:rRNA from 1 species